GAUGAAUACCUCAACCAGUACAUUUAUGUGGCAGCAAUGUCAGCAGGCAAGAACAGUGACUCAACAGACAGCAGGAACAGCUGCGGCAGUGGCGGAGCCUUCUAUGUCUGGAACAACUGGGCAGGCGUUGGUGACUGACAGGAGAGAAAAAACAAACAAAAGAUGCCCUAAAUAUCUGAGGACUAUGGAGGUUGUUAGUGAUGAAACUUCCGGAUCCCCACCGAUGCCCUUAGUCACACUUGAAAAUAGACAGAUUACUGUAAUUGAAAAACCUUUCGAAGAAAAUACAGAAGCUCUCUCACGCCCGGAAACGCCAACCUCACACCACCCUCACACCCGAUCAGCACUAGCAACGAUUACAG